ACGCUCGACACCUACGGUAGGCAGCAGUGGGGGAUAUUGCACAAUGGGGGGAACCCUGAUGCAGCGACGCCGCGUGAGGGAAGAAGGUUUUCGGAUUGUAAACCUCUGUCCUCAGGGAAGAAGAUGACGGUACCUGAGGAGGAAGCCACGGCUAACUACGUGCCAGUAGCCGCGGUAAUCUGAGCGGGCUGGCAAGGC
rnacentral:rRNA from 1 species